UACGGAGGGGCUAGCGUUGUUCGGAAUUACUGGGCGUAAAGGGCGCGUAGGCGGGCUGUCAAGUCUGGGGUGAAAUGCUGCGGCUCAACCGUAGAACUGCCUCAGAUACUGACGGCCUCGAGGAAGGUAGGGGCAUGCGGAACUGUAGGUGGAGCGGUGAAAUGCGUUGAUAUCUACAGGAACUCCGGUGGCGGAAAGCGGCGUGCUGGACCUUUUCUGACGCUGAGGCGCGAAAGCUAGGGGAGCAAACGGG
rnacentral:rRNA from 1 species